GUUAUUUUGGCAGAAUAGUGCAAUUGAUUUAGAAUCAAUAUAUGUAAUAAUUUACAGGUAAUA
rnacentral:tRNA from 1 species